rnacentral:rRNA from 1 species
GCUGGCGGCGCGCCUAACACAUGCAAGUCGAACGAGAAAGUGGAGCAAUCCAUGAGUACAGUGGCGUACGGGUGAGUAACACGUGGGUAAUCUACCUCUUUGUGUGGAAUAACCCUGGGAAACCGGGGCUAAUACCGCAUAAGCUCGAGAGAGGAAAGCAGCAAUGCGCUGAGAGAGGAGCCCGCGGCCGAUUAGCUAGUUGGCAGGGUAAAGGCCUACCAAGGCAAAGAUCGGUAGCCGGCCUGAGAGGGCACACGGCCACACUGGCACUGAAACACGGGCCAGACUCCUACGGGAGGCAGCAGUGGGGAAUCUUGCACAAUGGGGGAAACCCUGAUGCAGCGACGCCGCGUGAGCGAUGAAGCCCUUCGGGGUGUAAAGCUCUUUCGGCAGGGAAGAUUAUGACGGUACCUGCAGAAGCAGCUGCGGCUAACUACGUGCCAGCAGCCGCGGUAAUACGUAGGCAGCAAGCGUUGUUCGGAGUUACUGGGCGUAAAGGGUGUGU